GAAGGGUUCUCAACUUUGGGGUAGACGUAUCUCCUGUGGUAGACUACUGGAGAGGAAUUCUGUGGAUACGUGACAGGUAAUACAAUAGUCACUCUUGCUAGUUUUCUAUAGAUCGCGUCGUUUCUCACGCGUACGAAACAGGUACCGUCAUCACAAGCACGACUGUUAACACGCAGAUAUCAAAAGAUUUCCUUCUCUCGUGUGUCAUACUUUGAAGGUUUCGAGCAUGGAGAAUUGUUAAAUCAAGAGCAGGUACCGUCAUCACAAAUAAGACAUCAGAAAAUUUCCUUCUCUCGUGUGCCAUGCCUUGAAAGGUGGUGAAGUAGAAGUGGCUGGACACUGGAGUAUGGAAGAAUCAUCUAAAAUUUUUAAGUCUCCUCUCAGGGAAAUCAGUCGGUCGGGAAAAGCUUCUCUCAGGAAUCCCAUUGAAAUGCGUGCAAUGUGGGCUGUGGCCCCAUCUUGCUGGAACCACACGUUUCCAUUAUCCAGGUCCAUAUUAAUGAGAGCAGGCAUAGAAAAAACUCCCUGAGCAUUGUCACAUAGCGUUCUGAAGUCACUGUUACGGCACCACCGUUUUCUUGGAAAAAGUAAGGGCCAAUGAUCCCUACUCUUGACACUUAAACUGGCCUGCGCGCUCACCUGAUUUAGCCCCCUGUGAUUAUUUCCUGUGGGGAU